rnacentral:tRNA from 1 species
UUGGUAGAAGCCAAAAAGAGGCUUAUUAUUGUUAAUAAUAGAAGUGAUUUAUCCUACUAUU